AGAUACGGUGCUAUAUGGACAAGUCAGGGAAUUAACUAAAAUUAUUGCUAUUUGAAUAAACAACACAAGAUACAUACAACAACAAAUUCAAUAGGCCAUCCAAUUAGAUGUCCAUAAUUUACACAUUCAUGAAAAAUAGAAGCAUAAUCUUUUAGCAACUGUGAUAUGCCUCGCCCACCGCUAAAGAACCCUGGAAUCUCUCACAUUAUUGGAUCACAAAAUUUACUAUUUUCAGUGGAUAUCUCCUCUAUAGCUUGCCAGUAAUGGUGUCCCAAUAUAAAAUGACAAUUUAAAACUUCCAGCAAAUGCAGCCAAAAGUUGAAGGCUAUUGUAGAAAACUUACAAUUAACUCACUAAUAACUGACUGGAUAUUGAAAUCGUUCUCUCAGCAACUUAAAGAAACCUAGACAGAAAAGAGAAGUGCUUGCCAAUUUAAUUUUGAUGCAAAAGAAAGCAAGAAUUUAAACAUAAUUAGUAACAAGACUGGAAAAUCCAUGGUUU
rnacentral:lncRNA from 1 species